GAUGAACGCUAGCGGGAGGCCUAACACAUGCAAGCCGAGCGGUAUUUCUUCUUCGGGAGAGAGAGAGCGGCGUACGGGUGCGGAACACGUGUGCAACCUGCCUUUAUCUAGAGGAUAGCCUUUCGAAAGGAAGAUUAAUACUCUAUAAUAUCUUAAUUGGCAUCAAUUGAUAUUGAAAACUCCGGUGGAUAGAGAUGGGCACGCGCAAGAUUAGCUAGUUGGUUAGGUAACGGCUCACCAAGGCAAUGAUCUUUAGGGGGCCUGAGAGGGUGAUCCCCCACACUGGUACUGAGACACGGACCAGACUCCUACAGGAGGGAGCAGUAAGGAAUAUUGGUCAAUGGGUGCAAGCCUGAACCAGCCAUCCCGCGUGAAGGAUUAAGGUCCUAUGGAUUGUAAACUUCUUUCGUAUAGGGAUAAACCUACCCUCGUGAGGGUAGCUGAAGGUACUAUACGAAUAAGCACCGGCUAACUCCGUGCCAGCAGCCGCGGUAA
rnacentral:rRNA from 1 species